rnacentral:rRNA from 1 species
CCUACGGGAGGCAGCAGUAGGGAAUAUUGCUCAAUGGGGGAAACCCUGAAGCAGCAACGCCGCGUGGAGGAUGAAGGUUUUCGGAUUGUAAACUCCUUUUGUUAGAGAAGAUAAUGACGGUAUCUAACGAAUAAGCACCGGCUAACUCCGUGCCAGCAGCCGCGGUCAUACGGAGGGUGCAAGCGUUACUCGGAAUCACUGGGCGUAAAGAGCGCGUAGGCGGGUUAGCAAGUCAGAUGUGAAAUCCUAUGGCUUAACCAUAGAACUGCAUUUGAAACGGUUAUUCUAGAGUAUGGGAGAGGUAGGUGGAAUUCUUGGUGUAGGGGUAAAAUCCGUAGAGAUCAAGAGGAAUACUCAUUGCGAAGGCGACCUGCUAGAACAUAACUGACGCUGAUGCGCGAAAGCGUGGGGAGCAAACAGGAUUAGAUACCCCUGUAGUC